rnacentral:piRNA from 1 species
UAAGCCAUGUUGGGCGCCACCUGUAG